ACAGGCUCCGGACGCACAGGCUCAGCGGCCAUGGCUCACGGGCCUAGCCGCUCCACGGCAUGGGGGAUCUUCCCGGACCGGGGCUCGAACCUGUGUCCCCUGCAUCGGCAGGUGGACUCACAACCACCGCGCCACCAGGGAAGCCCUACACUUUGAGUUUUCAGGGGGAUUUCUUGAGGAUGAAAGAUCCGGCUGCUCUGUGGUUGUAACUCCCAGAUCCAGGAGGCUCUGUGAUUAGAUAAGGCUUGGUAUUCCCCAGGGAGUUUCUGCUUCCAAAAGGGCCUAUUGAUUCUAGAGAAUCAAGUUAUAGCUGGAGUAGCUGUACAAUUUCUUAUUCCAAUAAUCCAGGAAAGUCUCCCAAAACUGGGUCAAAAAUGCUCCCACCACAGAAGAUAGGUUCUUUCUCCCAUACGGUGCUAGAGAGAGGCACCAUAAACUCUCUCUACCUCUUUUUUCAUUUCUUUUUUUCUAUCUCUAUAGUGUUUUCUUUUUUAUAGUCUGUGCAGGCAGUGACACUUCCAUUACUCUAACGUCACUUGAAUUGUUCAAAUUCCAGGAGGGUUGAUCAGAAUCCAUUUCUGUUUAGUUAACUAGCAGGCCUGAGGAUACAUUUUGAACACUGUGACUGUGGUUACUUUCUCAACUCCUCCACGAACUGUACAAAUCAGCUCUUAGGAAGGAUUGCUUUUGCAAGUGGGUCAUCUCAAUCAUUUUGCAUUUAUUCUUAGUUUGCUAUUCCUGGAGCAUGUACCAAGGGUCAAGCUAAGUGCUUUCCUUACAUUAUUCAGUAUAAUCCUUAUGACACCCUUUCAAAUAGAUACUUUUAUUUCCCCAUUUUACGAUUAACUUAAGAGAGUUGGGUGCUGAUAGAGUUGGACCUCAAACACAGAUCUGAGUCCAGAAGAACAAGCUUUUACAAACUCCUUCCUCAGCUCAGAAGAUGAUGUAAUUCUGAUCUUACCCCCAAUCCCAGGCUGGGUCUUGUGGUACGCAGGACCUUAGUUCCCUGACCAGGGAUUGAACCCGUGCCCCUGCAGUGGAAACGCAGCGCCUUAACCACUGGAUUGCCAGGGACGUCCCCAGUUUCUUUAUUUUAGAGUGGCUUACCAAGUUCCUCUAAAAGUAUGAUGUCAACAUGAUUUAUGAGUCAUCUGAACUUGGGGUCUCAUCCUUACCUGCUCUCAGAGACCUUCCUUCAUCAGUGGUCCCUGCUCCUCUCUACUGGCUCUUUGUCAUAUUCAUUUAAACAUAACCACUUCUUUUUUCAUAUUAAAGAAAAAAAAAAUCCCCGAAUCAGGGAUUUUAGGCUUCAAGUUACCCAACAGUUUCUACCUUCGUCCUUGCAUUUUUUUGCUUCGCAGGUAAGUAUAGAUGUUGUCUGCACGCACAGUCUCCACUCCCCAGGUUGGCUCCAUCUGUUCUCGUUCACACUCCAGAGCACUGCGGUCAGGCUUCUGUCUCCAUCACUCUACAGACAUUACUCUCAACAAGGUCACUCCUUUCUUUUUUUUUUGCGGUACGCGGGCCUCUCACUGGCGCGGCCUCUCCCGUUGCAGAGCACAGGCUCCGGACGCGCAGGCUCAGCGGCCACGGCUCACGGGCCCAGCCGCUCCGCGGCGUGUGGGAUCCUCCCAGACCGGGGCGCGAACCCGCGUCCCUUGCAUCGGCAGGCGGACUCUCAACCACUGCGCCACCAGGGAAGCCGGGUCACUCCCUUCUUAAAACCAUGUGAUGACUCCAGAUUUUCCUCGGGACGAAGUCCAAACUCCUUAAAAUGGCAUGUGGUCAUUUGCAGCCUUCCCUCCCGUCUCUCCCUUUUCUGCCUGCACACCUCCCCCCUGCCUGCUGCUCGCUCCCCACACCCGCACACACUGUGAGUCCCCACCCCACAGGACUGCUCGGGGUUCCCCAGAAGCAUCAUACUUCCACCUCUAGGCAGUGAUGCUCUGAAGUGGUUUGCACCCGCUUGUGAGAGUUUGGUGUACAUUUCUUCCCAAUUAUGUGUUUGGUGAUGUCCUGUUGGUAGCCUAAAGUCGGCCGUGGUGGGAGUAUUUAUAUCAAGGAAAUGGGCAAAUUCUACAAACUAGGGCCUUCUUGCCUACCUCUAGAGAGAUGGCUGUUAAAUAUCUACCACACACCAUUGCUUCUAGGCCUGUGCACAUAUGUUCUCCCCUCCAGCCCAGCUUGGCUCAGCUUAAAUGUCCCUUCCUUUUGGAAGCUUCUCCUGACUCUUCAAGAUUGGGAUAGAGGGACUUCCCUGGUGGUCCAGUGGUUAAGACUCUGCGCUCCCAACGCAGGGGGCCUGGGUUCGAUCCCUGGUCAGGGAACUAGAUCCCGCAUGCCACAGCUAAGACCUUGUGCAGCCAAAUAAAUAAAUAAAUAUUAAAAAAAAAAAAAAAAAAGAUUGGGAUAGCUGCCCUUCUCUGUGAUUCUAUGGAAACUUGGGCAGCACCCUUCCCCCAUCCGCCUCCCCAUGGCAUGUAUCGUACUGAUUUUUUCUGUAUCCUAUACUGACCAAGUGAAGUCUUUGAGGUCAGGGAAGGCUUCAAGGUGUGGUCCUCCAGUCAGCAGUGAGAUCAUCACUGGGGGAGCUGGUUAGAAAUGCAGACUCUCAGGCACACCCCAGACUGAUUGAAUCAGAAACUGCAUUUUAACAAGAUCUCCGGGGACUGAGUGCAUUUAAAUUUAAGGUGCACUGCCUUAGGGGCCAUCUCAUCAUUUUUCAAAUGGAAAAACAAAACAUCAGGGGCCUUGUCUUAUUCAUUGCCAUUGUUCUCCACCUGGGAUAGUGUUUGGCACGUAGCAAGGUGCCACAUCAUAUUUUGAAAUGAAGCAGUACGUGAGUAAUUGAAAUGCUUAGCCCUCUCUAUUAAACAAGAAGCUUUUUAGGGUUCAAGAAUGUGUCUUCAUCUUUGCAUCCCCUAGAUUUCCUCAUACACAUCAGCAUUCAGUAGAAAAUGGAAUAGGAUGAAUGAACUAGGCUUGAGUGCACUUUUGCUGAUCCUAAAACUAGAGCCCAAUUUAAGAUAUUCAUCCUAGAAGUGAGGCAAUGACCUUUGAAGUUAUGGGUCUGUAGAAUCCAAACCUGGAGUUUUGAAAUAUGUCACCAGAAACUUAAGAUUUUUCCUAGCCAUCAACCAGCUGCAAUGUUCUACUCUUAUUUCCUCGUUUCUCCUAAUACAGUGAUGCCAAGCUUACCCCACCUCCUUCUUUCCUCUUCCUUUAGCUACAGCGUCCACACGCUACUUGCUCACAGACUCACAUGCACGUUGAACACGACGUAGAGUAGGAGAGCUGUGCAGUGCGGUGGAAGGCACUUGGCAUUUAGUCAGGGGACGCUGGCUGUGUUCCUGCCUGUCACAACCUUUCUGGAGCCUUCGUCUUUUCCUCUGCAAUGGGGAAAAUGAUAUCUUCCCUAUCUAAUUCACCACGUUUUUGUAGGAUCAAAUGAGUUAACAUAGGUGAAAGUGCUUUUAUACAUUGUAAAGCACUGCAUAGAGUAGAUGCAAAAUCUCUCAGACAAAUGGAUCUCAAGCACACGCUAUGGUUUAGUAACGCCCUAGCACGUGGAAUAUGCAAGGAGAUAAAAGAAUGUGCCAGUAUGGAAGGGUAUAGAAAUCUAGAGGUUAUUUAUUUGGGGAACAGGAUGCCUUACCUGUGUCCAGGCAUGUAAUUAGAUAAAGAUUGUGGUUUUGCAUUGCAAAGACAUAAAAAUAAAACAUUGGCUUCGUAUCAGAUGUCACCUAGGAAAUCUGGGGUGAUUCCGUCUGAGAUGCCAGGUGUGCUAUUAAUCAGCAAUAAAAAACAGUUAAUCUAAGAAGCAAAUGAUAAGGACAUGUUGGUGGCUGAUAACUGGAAAAACAGUUUCAUUCCCUAAUAGGAUCUGAUAGGCUCCAGCUAAUCUAGAUGCAAAAAAAUAGAUCAAUACCAAGCAAGAGUUCCUUUCAAAUAGACAGCUACCAGUGAAUAUUGCAAACUGCAAGCAUUGUUCGCCAGUUUCUUAGUGUUGGGACAUCCCUUGCAGAUGUUAAUAAUUACCUACCCACAAUAGGAAGGCUCCAUGGUGUGGUCUUCCAAUCAGCAGCCCGGGCAUCUCCUGGGGAGUUGGUCAGAAAUGCAGACUCUCAGGGCCACCCCAGACCUGUUGAAUCAGAACCUGCAUUUUAACAAGAUCUCCAGGGAUUGGGUGUAUUUAAAUUUAAGGCAGACUGCCUUAGGGACCAUCUAAUAAUUUUUCAAAUGGAAAAACAAAAAAUCAGGACUUUAAGGGUGAUUUUUUUCCCCUCAAGGUCUAAUAGGCACAGGAGGCAGAGCCUGGAUUAGAAAAAAAAGUUUUCCGACUCUGUUGGCGGUUCCACCAUUGCUCACCACCUCACGGCCUGGUUCUUCAGCUUCUGGCUGUGAGGCUUAGGGCAAGUUACUGAACCUCUCUGAGUCUGUUUGCUCAUCUGUGAGAUGGAGAUGGUAGCAAUGUCUACCUCACAGAACUGUGAGGUUUAACACAGAUUAGAAAAUCUCUGAACAUUUUGUCCAAGGCAUAAUUCACAUGAAAAGGUUUAUUAUUCUCUAAUGAAAAGGCAGACAAUGUUCCACAUAAUUUAAACAGUAGAAGUAAAUUUUUUAUGGCACACAGAAGCAGAUUGUUAUUUAUAACUCUGAAAAUCUUCAUGCCUUGACAGUAAUGUUUGGAAAACAGUUAUUUUUCCUUUUAAUCUUUCCUAUUUUCCAGUGAAGAAGCUUAUAUAAGCUACCCUGCAGAGGUGCUCUGCUAGUCACUGUAAUUUAAUCAUCUUGAAGGUUAGGCUGACUUCUGUUAUUAUGAAAAUUGUGAACCCGGGCCAAAUUCAACCUUUGGAAUAGGCACCCACAUAUGUAAUUAAAGAACCUGACUCACUGACCUACUUUCUUGGCCACCAAAACAGGAAGAGACUGCAUUUCCUAGUGUUCUCCGCCAUCUAGUGGCCAAACAUGGUACAUGGCUCAAUUUUCGGUUACAGAGAAAUUAUCGGGAAUUCUACAAUAGGUUUUCACGUCUUAAAC